GACGAACCGUGCGACCGUUGUUCGGAUUCACUGGGCUUAAAGGGCGCGUAGGCGGCGGCUCAAGUCGGGGGUGAAAUCCUCUCGCUUAACGAGAGAAUUGCUUUCGAUACUGGGUCGCUGGAGGGAGAUAGGGGUGCGCGGAACUUCCGGUGGAGCGGUGAAAUGCGUAGAUAUCGGAAGGAACGCCGGUGGCGAAAGCGGCGCACUGGAUCUCUUCUGACGCUGAGGCGCGAAAGCCAGGGGAGCAAACGGG
rnacentral:rRNA from 1 species